rnacentral:rRNA from 1 species
GGGUUGUGAGGUUAAGCGACUAAGCGUACACGGUGGAUGCCCUGGCAGUCAGAGGCGAUGAAGGACGUGCUAAUCUGCGAUAAGCGUCGGUAAGGUGAUAUGAACCGUUAUAACCGGCGAUUUCCGAAUGGGGAAACCCAGUGUGAUUCGUCACACUAUCAUUAACUGAAUCCAUAGGUUAAUGAGGCGAACCGGGGGAACUGAAACAUCUAAGUACCCCGAGGAAAAGAAAUCAACCGAGAUUCCCCCAGUAGCGGCGAGCGAACGGGGAGCAGCCCAGAGCCUGAAUCAGUGUGUGUGUUAGUGGAAGCGUCUGGAAAGGCGCGCGAUACAGGGUGACAGCCCCGUACACAAAAAUGCACAUACUGUGAGCUCGAUGAGUAGGGCGGGACACGUGGUAUCCUGUCUGAAUAUGGGGGGACCAUCCUCCAAGGCUAAAUACUCCUGACUGACCGAUAGUGAACCAGUACCGUGAGGGAAAGGCGAAAAGAACCCCGGCGAGGGGAGUGAAAAAGAACCUGAAACCGUGUACGUACAAGCAGUGGGAGCCUCUUUAUGGGGUGACUGCGUACCUUUUGUAUAAUGGGUCAGCGACUUAUAUUCUGUAGCAAGGUUAACCGAAUAGGGGAGCCGAAGGGAAACCGAGUCUUAACUGGGCGUUAAGUUGCAGGGUAUAGACCCGAAACCCGGUGAUCUAGCCAUGGGCAGGUUGAAGGUUGGGUAACACUAACUGGAGGACCGAACCGACUAAUGUUGAAAAAUUAGCGGAUGACUUGUGGCUGGGGGUGAAAGGCCAAUCAAACCGGGAGAUAGCUGGUUCUCCCCGAAAGCUAUUUAGGUAGCGCCUCGUGAAUUCAUCUCCGGGGGUAGAGCACUGUUUCGGCAAGGGGGUCAUCCCGACUUACCAACCCGAUGCAAACUGCGAAUACCGGAGAAUGUUAUCACGGGAGACACACGGCGGGUGCUAACGUCCGUCGUGAAGAGGGAAACAACCCAGACCGCCAGCUAAGGUCCCAAAGUCAUGGUUAAGUGGGAAACGAUGUGGGAAGGCCCAGACAGCCAGGAUGUUGGCUUAGAAGCAGCCAUCAUUUAAAGAAAGCGUAAUAGCUCACUGGUCGAGUCGGCCUGCGCGGAAGAUGUAACGGGGCUAAACCAUGCACCGAAGCUGCGGCAGCGACACUAUGUGUUGUUGGGUAGGGGAGCGUUCUGUAAGCCUGUGAAGGUGUACUGUGAGGUAUGCUGGAGGUAUCAGAAGUGCGAAUGCUGACAUAAGUAACGAUAAAGCGGGUGAAAAGCCCGCUCGCCGGAAGACCAAGGGUUCCUGUCCAACGUUAAUCGGGGCAGGGUGAGUCGACCCCUAAGGCGAGGCCGAAAGGCGUAGUCGAUGGGAAACAGGUUAAUAUUCCUGUACUUGGUGUUACUGCGAAGGGGGGACGGAGAAGGCUAUGUUGGCCGGGCGACGGUUGUCCCGGUUUAAGCGUGUAGGCUGGUUUUCCAGGCAAAUCCGGAAAAUCAAGGCUGAGGCGUGAUGACGAGGCACUACGGUGCUGAAGCAACAAAUGCCCUGCUUCCAGGAAAAGCCUCUAAGCAUCAGGUAACAUCAAAUCGUACCCCAAACCGACACAGGUGGUCAGGUAGAGAAUACCAAGGCGCUUGAGAGAACUCGGGUGAAGGAACUAGGCAAAAUGGUGCCGUAACUUCGGGAGAAGGCACGCUGAUAUGUAGGUGAAGUCCCUCGCGGAUGGAGCUGAAAUCAGUCGAAGAUACCAGCUGGCUGCAACUGUUUAUUAAAAACACAGCACUGUGCAAACACGAAAGUGGACGUAUACGGUGUGACGCCUGCCCGGUGCCGGAAGGUUAAUUGAUGGGGUUAGCGGUAACGCGAAGCUCUUGAUCGAAGCCCCGGUAAACGGCGGCCGUAACUAUAACGGUCCUAAGGUAGCGAAAUUCCUUGUCGGGUAAGUUCCGACCUGCACGAAUGGCGUAAUGAUGGCCAGGCUGUCUCCACCCGAGACUCAGUGAAAUUGAACUCGCUGUGAAGAUGCAGUGUACCCGCGGCAAGACGGAAAGACCCCGUGAACCUUUACUAUAGCUUGACACUGAACAUUGAGCCUUGAUGUGUAGGAUAGGUGGGAGGCUUUGAAGUGUGGACGCCAGUCUGCAUGGAGCCGACCUUGAAAUACCACCCUUUAAUGUUUGAUGUUCUAACGUUGGCCCCUGAUCGGGGUUGCGGACAGUGUCUGGUGGGUAGUUUGACUGGGGCGGUCUCCUCCUAAAGAGUAACGGAGGAGCACGAAGGUUGGCUAAUCCUGGUCGGACAUCAGGAGGUUAGUGCAAUGGCAUAAGCCAGCUUGACUGCGAGCGUGACGGCGCGAGCAGGUGCGAAAGCAGGUCAUAGUGAUCCGGUGGUUCUGAAUGGAAGGGCCAUCGCUCAACGGAUAAAAGGUACUCCGGGGAUAACAGGCUGAUACCGCCCAAGAGUUCAUAUCGACGGCGGUGUUUGGCACCUCGAUGUCGGCUCAUCACAUCCUGGGGCUGAAGUAGGUCCCAAGGGUAUGGCUGUUCGCCAUUUAAAGUGGUACGCGAGCUGGGUUUAGAACGUCGUGAGACAGUUCGGUCCCUAUCUGCCGUGGGCGCUGGAGAACUGAGGGGGGCUGCUCCUAGUACGAGAGGACCGGAGUGGACGCAUCACUGGUGUUCGGGUUGUCAUGCCAAUGGCACUGCCCGGUAGCUAAAUGCGGAAGAGAUAAGUGCUGAAAGCAUCUAAGCACGAAACUUGCCCCGAGAUGAGUUCUCCCUGACUCC